rnacentral:rRNA from 1 species
GUCCUGGCCCUAAACGAUGAGCACUAGGUAGGGGCGAGUCCGACUCGUCCCUGCUGAAGCAAAAGUAUUAAGUGCUCCGCCUGGGUAGUAUGGUCGCAAGGCUAAAAACUCAAAGGAAUUGACGGGGGCUCACACAAGCGGUGGAGGAUGUUGCUCAAUUCGAAGCAACGCGAAGAACCUUACCUGGGCUUGACAUGCUGGUGGUAGGACCCUGAAAGGGGAACGACCCUCGCAAGAGGGAACCAGCACAGGUGUUGCAUGGCUGUCGU